AUUUAUUUAGUAUAUAUAUAGUACUAUUGACUUCCAAUCAAUAAGAUUGAAUAAAUCAAAAUAAAUA
rnacentral:tRNA from 1 species